UGGGGAAUCUUGCGCAAUGGGCGAAAGCCUGACGCAGCGACGCCGCGUGAGUGAUGAAGGCCUUAGGGUUGUAAAGCUCUGUGGAGAGGGACGAAUAAGCGUCGGUUAAUACCCGGCGUGAUGACGGUACCUCUUUAGCAAGCACCGGCUAACUCUGUGCCAGCAGCCGCGGUAAGACAGAGGGUGCUAACGUUGUUCGGAAUUACUGGGCGUAAAGCGCGUGUAGGCUGUUGCGUAUGUCGGGCGUGAAAGCCCUGGGCUCAACCCAGGAAGUGCACCCGAAACUGCGUGACUUGAGUUCUGGAGAGGGAGGCGGAAUUCUGGGUGUAGAGGUGAAAUUCGUAGAUAUCCAGAGGAACACCAGUGGCGAAGGCGGCCUCCUGGACAGUGACUGACGCUGAGACGCGAAAGCGUGGGGAGCAAACAGGAUUAGAUACCCCCGUAGUCC
rnacentral:rRNA from 1 species